CCUAACGGUAUCGAGCGAGCCGGUUGUAGACGUGGUCCAGGUUUCUGCACAGGAAUAUCGAGAGCGUCAUGAACCCGAGCUAUAGAGAAAGGAGAUGAGGCCCAGGAGGCAGCGGAGCUCCUUGAGGGCCCCCACACAACCCAGGAGGGCGAUGCCCAUGGUGAAGAUUCCUGAGAUGGCCAGGACUUUGGACCAGAUCUGCAGAGGCACGAAGGCCAAGCCUGGGAGAGGUGAGGGGAGUGAUGAUGAGCUGUGUGGCACAGCUCCAGGCAGCCCCAU
rnacentral:lncRNA from 1 species